rnacentral:rRNA from 1 species
GAUGAACGCUAGCUACAGGCUUAACACAUGCAAGUCGAGGGGCAGCAUGGUCUUAGCUUGCUAAGGCCGAUGGCGACCGGCGCACGGGUGAGUAACACGUAUCCAACCUGCCGUCUACUCUUGGACAGCCUUCUGAAAGGAAGAUUAAUACAAGAUGGCAUCAUGAGUCCGCAUGUUCACAUGAUUAAAGGUAUUCCGGUAGACGAUGGGGAUGCGUUCCAUUAGAUAGUAGGCGGGGUAACGGCCCACCUAGUCUUCGAUGGAUAGGGGUUCUGAGAGGAAGGUCCCCCACAUUGGAACUGAGACACGGUCCAAACUCCUACGGGAGGCAGCAGUGAGGAAGAUUGGUCAAUGGGCUAGAGCCUGAACCAGCCAAGUAGCGUGAAGGAUGACUGCCCUAUGGGUUGUAAACUUCUUUUAUAAAGGAGUAAAGUCGGGUAUGGAUACCCGUUUGCAUGUACUUGAUGAAUAAGGACCGGCUAACUCCGUG